GAGUUUGAUCCUGGCUCAGGAUGAACGCUGGCGGCGUGCCUAACACAUGCAAGUCGAACGAAGUUACUUGCUUAGAUCUCUUCGGAGUGACGAGCUUUUAACUUAGUGGCGGACGGGUGAGUAACACGUGAGCAACCUGCCUUUCAGAGGGGGAUAACGGCUGGAAACGGUCGCUAAUACCGCAUGAUAUAUUGAAUCGGCAUCGGUUUAAUAUCAAAGGAGCAAUCCGCUGAAAGAUGGGCUCGCGUCUGAUUAGAUAGUUGGUGGGGUAACGGCCUACCAAGUCGACGAUCAGUAGCCGGACUGAGAGGUUGAACGGCCACAUUGGGACUGAGAUACGGCCCAGACUCCUACGGGAGGCAGCAGUGGGGAAUAUUGCACAAUGGGGGAAACCCUGAUGCAGCAACGCCGCGUGAAGGAAGACGGUUUUCGGAUUGUAAACUUCUUUUCUUAGUGAAGAAGAAAGUGACGGUAGCUAAGGAAUAAGCAUCGGCUAACUACGUGCCAGCAGCCGCGGUAAUACGUAGGAUGCGAGCGUUAUCCGGAAUUACUGGGUGUAAAGGGAGCGCAGGCGGGACUGCAAGUUGGAUGUGAAAUACCGCAGCUUAACUGCGGAGCUGCAUCCAAAACUG
rnacentral:rRNA from 1 species